UGCGUAGGUGGCGAGCGUUAUCCGGAAUGAUUGGGCGUAAAGGGUGCGUAGGCGGCCUGCUAAGUCUGGAGUGAAAGGUACCGGCUCAACCGGUACAGGCUCUGGAAACUGGCGGGCUAGAGAGCAGGAGAGGGCGGUGGAACUCCAUGUGUAGCGGUAAAAUGCGUAGAUAUAUGGAGGAACACCGGUGGCGAAAGCGGCUCUCUGGCCUGUAACUGACACUGAGGCUCGAAAGCGUGGGGAGCAAACAGG
rnacentral:rRNA from 1 species